CGUAGGAUCCUAGCGUUGUCCGGAUUUACUGGGUGUAAAGGGUGCGCAGGCGGGCUUAUAAGUCAGUGGUGAAAUCUCGGCGCUUAACGCCGAAACUGCCUUUGAUACUAUAAGUCUUGAGUUUGGUAGAGAUCCGUGGAAUUCCGAGUGUAGCAGUGAAAUGUGUAGAUAUUCGGAAGAACACCAGCGGCGAAGGCAGCGGAUUGGGCCAAUACUGACGCUCAGGCACGAAAGCAUGGGGAUCAAACAGGAUUAGAUACCCUGGUAGUCCAUGCCCUAAACGAUGUACACUUGAUGUCGGUCUUUAACGGGUCGAUGUCGGAGCUAACGUGUUAAGUGUACCACCUGGGGAGUACGCUCGCAAGGGUG
rnacentral:rRNA from 1 species